rnacentral:lncRNA from 1 species
UGGAGUGUGAACCUUGUUCUCUUCUCUAGCUGCCCGGCAACAGCAAGCACCGAGGUUUAUAGAGAAGAGUAGAGGGCGAAGAGAGGAGCCUGGGUACUGGGCAGAGCCAGCUUCUAUUAGGUAAGGUAGGAUAGCUGGAAUUCACAGUGUUCUUCCCCAGGGGUUACAAUACAUGUGGCCACAGAGGUUAGGUAUGGAGACAUAGUAAGGGUCUCCCUAAAAAGGGAAGUAGACUAGGUAGUUAUGGGUGGACAGGGACACACACACACACACACAGGGACACACACCUACACACAUGGAUACACACACAGUGACACACACAGAUAUAGACACACACAGACAUGCACAGGGACACACACACACAUGGACUCACACACAGGGACACAUACACACUUGGAUAGACACACACACAUGGACACACACACACAGGGAGACACACAGAUACAGGCACACAGACAUGCACAGGGACACACAUGCACACACAUAGAGACACACACACACACACACACACACAUACACAUAGGGACACAGACUCAGCAGGAAUGGAAGGGUCAGUGGAGCAGGGAGGGAGGGGGAGGGGGGAGAAAGGAAGUGAAUACAAGUAGGGCUGCUAAUAUUUAAGACCAUAUGAGGGGUU